CGCGCAGGCGGUUUGGUAAGUCGGAUGUGAAAACCCGGAGCUCAACUCCGGGCCUGCAUCCGAUACUGCCCGACUAGAGGUAGGUAGGGGAGAUCGGAAUUCCUGGUGUAGCGGUGAAAUGCGCAGAUAUCAGGAGGAACACCGGUGGCGAAGGCGGAUCUCUGGGCCUUACCUGACGCUCAGGCGCGAAAGCUAGGGGAGCGAACA
rnacentral:rRNA from 1 species